GAUGAACGCUGGCGGCGUGCCUAAUACAUGCAAGUCGAGCGAACAGACGAGGAGCUUGCUCCUCUGGCGUUAGCGGCGGACGGGUGAGUAACACGUGGAUAACCUACCUAUAAGACUGGGAUAACUUCGGGAAACCGGAGCUAAUACCGGAUAAUAUAUUGAACCGCAUGGUUCAAUAGUGAAAGACGGUUUUGCUGUCACUUAUAGAUGGAUCCGCGCCGCAUUAGCUAGUUGGUAAGGUAACGGCUUACCAAGGCAACGAUGCGUAGCCGACCUGAGAGGGUGAUGGCCCACACUGGAAGUGAGACAGGUCCCAGACCCCUAGGGGGGGCGACAGAGGGGAAUCUUCCGCAAUGGGGGAAUGUUUGAGGAAGCAACGCCGGGGGAGUAAUAAAGUUUUUCGGAUCUAAAACCUUUGUUAUUGGGGAAAAAAAAAUGUGAAAGAACCUAUGCACGUCUUGACGGUACCUAAUAAGAAAGCCCCGGCUAACUCCGUG
rnacentral:rRNA from 1 species